CCCGUAGCUCAGUUGGAUUAGAGCGCCUUUUUCGCAAAAGGGGGGUCGCGGGUUCGAAUCCCGCCGGG
rnacentral:tRNA from 1 species